UACGUAGGGUGCAAGCGUUAAUCGGAAUUACUGGGCGUAAAGCGUGCGCAGGCGGUGAUGUAAGACAGAUGUGAAAUCCCCGGGCUUAACCUGGGAACUGCGCUUGUAACUGGCAAGCUAGAGUGUGGCAGAGGGGGGUGGAAUUCCACGUGUAGCAGUGAAAUGCGUAGAGAUGUGGAGGAACACCGAUGGCGAAGGCAGCCCCCUGGGUUAACACUGACGCUCAUGCACGAAAGCGUGGGGAGCAAACAGG
rnacentral:rRNA from 1 species